AUUGAACGCUGGCGGCAUGCCUUACACAUGCAAGUCGAACGGCAGCACGGGUGCUUGCACCUGGUGGCGAGUGGCGAACGGGUGAGUAAUACAUCGGAACGUACCUUAUCGUGGGGGAUAACGCAGCGAAAGCUGUGCUAAUACCGCAUAAGCCCUGAGGGGGAAAGCGGGGGAUCGAAAGACCUCGCGCGAUUAGAGCGGCCGAUGCCUGAUUAGCUUGUUGGGGGGGUAAAAGCCCACCAAGGCGACGAUCAGUAGCUGGUCUGAGAGGACGAUGAGCCACACGGGGGCUGAGAAACGGCCCAGACUCCUACGGGAGGCAGCAGUGGGGAAUUGUGGACAAUGGGGGCAAACCUGAUCCAGCAAUGCCGCGUGAGUGAAGAAGGCCUUCGGGUUGUAAAGCUCUUUUGUCAGGGAAGAAACACCGGCUCUAACACAGUCCGGGAAUGACGGUACCUGAAGAAUAAGCACCGGCUAACUACGUGCCAGCCGCCGCGGUAA
rnacentral:rRNA from 1 species